rnacentral:rRNA from 1 species
GAUGAACGCUGGCGGCGUGCCUAAUACAUGCAAGUAGAACGCUGAAGGAAGGAGCUUGCUCUUUCCGGAUGAGUUGCGAACGGGUGAGUAACGCGUAGGUAACCUGCCUGGUAGCGGGGGAUAACUAUUGGAAGCGAUAGCUAAUACCGCAUAACAGUAGAUGUUGCAUGAUAUCUACUUAAAAGGUGCAAUUGCACCACUACCAGAUGGACCUGCGUUGUAUUAGCUAGUUGGUGAGGUAACGGCUCACCAAGGCGACGAUACAUAGCCGACCUGAGAGGGUGAUCGGCCACACUGGGACUGAGACACGGCCCAGACUCCUACGGGAGGCAGCAGUAGGGAAUCUUCGGCAAUGGACGGAAGUCUGACCGAGCAACGCCGCGUGAGUGAAGAAGGUUUUCGGAUCGUAAAGCUCGGUUGUAAGAGAAGAACGAGUGUGAGAGUGGAAAGUUCACACUGUGACGGUAUCUGACCAGAAAGGGACGGCUAACUACGUG